UGAUUUUUCCUGCCAAAAUUAGUCUGUCAACCAUUUUCGGCUUUUCAUAACGUAAAAUAAAAAUCAAAAAUACAUUUUAAAGGCUCUGAUGUUUUUCCUGGCAAAUAUAAAAUACAUAUCUCAGUUCAAAGCAAAAACUAUCGAUAAGUCUGGAACCGGGACAAAUCGAUACACUAACGUUGGUUUACGUUGUUUUUCCCGACCAUCCCUAGCGUGGUUAUUACGCUUUUUCGAUACGAUUAUUGUACACUUUCUGUUAAGGGGUGGCAAUUGAAAUUUGCAAGGGCUGUAAUUAAUUGGAGGCUAAGUUGAUGUUUUAUACCGACUGGAUAAAGGUAGAGAUUGGAGCAGGUUUGGCGGUGAAAUAAUGAACCAACGAUAUUGUUCGGAUGGCAUGUGUCCACGAACUCCGUACCACACAUACACGUCAGAAAGCGAACACGCCAAAGAGAACUUGCUGCUUCAUCUCUAUUAUGGACUUGGUUAAGUCGUAACGACAAAAAAUGGCCAAUCGGUCCCAAAUAAAUAGCCCAAUCUCACAGACCACAUCCAAGCGAAA